rnacentral:rRNA from 1 species
ACUCGAGUGGCGAACGGGUGAGUAACACGUGGGUGAUCUGCCCCUGACUUUGGGAUAAGCCUGGGAAACUGGGUCUAAUACCGGAUAUGACCUUACAUCGCAUGGUGUUUGGUGGAAAGCUUUUGCGGUUGGGGAUGGGCCCGCGGCCUAUCAGCUUGUUGGUGGGGUAAUGGCCUACCAAGGCGACGACGGGUAGCCGACCUGAGAGGGUGAUCGGCCACACUGGGACUGAGACACGGCCCAGACUCCUACGGGAGGCAGCAGUGGGGAAUAUUGCACAAUGGGCGCAAGCCUGAUGCAGCGACGCCGCGUGAGGGAUGACGGCCUUCGGGUUGUAAACCUCUUUCACCAGGGACGAAGCGUGAGUGACGGUACCUGGAGAAGAAGCACCGGCCAACUACGUGCCAGCAGCCGCGGUAAUACGUAGGGUGCGAGCGUUGUCCGGAAUUACUG